UACGGAGGGUGCGAGCGUUGUCCGGAAUCACUGGGCGUAAAGGGCGCGUAGGUGGCCGAGCAAGGUCGCGGUGAAAGCCCGGGGCUCAACCCCGGGUCGGCCGUGGCAACUACUGGGCUGGAGCACUGUAGGGGCGGGUGGAAUUCUGGGUGUAGCGGUGGAAUGCGUAGAGAUCCGGAAGAACACCGGUGGCGAAGGCGGCCCGCUGGGCAGUUGCUGACACUGAGGCGCGACAGCGUGGGGAGCAAACAGG
rnacentral:rRNA from 1 species